CCUACGGGAGGCAGCAGUGGGGAAUAUUGCGCAAUGGGCGAAAGCCUGACGCAGCGACGCCGCGUGAGGGAUGAAGGUCUUCGGAUCGUAAACCUCUGUCAGCAGGGAAGAACGGUCACUGUGCUAAUCAGCAGUGAAUUGACGGUACCUGCAAAGGAAGCACCGGCAAACUCCGUGCCAGCAGCCGCGGUAAUUCGGAGGGUGCGAGCGUUAAUCGGAAUUACUGGGCGUAAAGCGCUCGUAGGCGGUAUGGCAAGUCAAGGGUGAAAUCCCCGCGCUCAACGUGGGAACUGCCUUUGAAACUGGCAGACUGGAGUGUGUGAGAGGAUAGUGGAAUUCCAGGUGUAGGAAUGAAAUCCGUAGAUAUCUGGAGGAACAUCAGUGGCGAAGGCGACUAUCUGGCACAUAACUGACGCUGAGGAGCGAAAGCGUGGGUAGCAAACAGGAUUAGAUACCCUUGUAGUC
rnacentral:rRNA from 1 species